rnacentral:lncRNA from 1 species
AAAUUCAGGUCCAGGGAGGGGAAGUGACUUGCUCUUGCUCACAUAGCAAGGCCAUCGGGCCCUCUCUACUCCACCGCCCUGCCUUUCUGCCCAACCAUUAUAGACAAAGGCAAAGAACUUAGUCCCAGACCUUUCCAGCUGUGUGACUUUGGGUGCUUGCCUAACCUCUCUGAUUUAGAGUUUCUUCAUCUAUAAAAUGCAAACAUUGUCUGUUUUCUUCAAUACCCAGCACCCAGAAUGGUGCUUGACAAAUAGUAAGAGCUUGAUAAAUAUUUCUUGGAUGAAUGAAUGAGUAAUCCCUAACUCUCAGCUCAUUUGUGAGUAUCAAGCCAAGCAGUAAACAUGAAAUGCAGUUCCUGCGCGGUGCCAAAUACACGGCAGGGACUUUGCAAACGGUGCUCCUUUUGCCCCCUCGCUGACCACGCUGAGGAUUCUAGCCUCCCCUCUGACCCAAGUCAGGGACCCCUGAUCUCCAAAGCCCAGACUCUAUCCUGAAAUCACAGGCACCCAGAGCUCUGAGUCUCAUGAGUUUGCUCAGCUCCCCCAGGCCAGCCUCCUCCCCAGCAGCUCCUCUGGCCUCUGCUCCUACACCACAGGCCUUCCACUAGGCACCUGGGGAACCAGUGCCCCUGGCCUGGCCAGAAUGCCCAGCCUACAAGGCCCGGGCCCCCUGAACACUGUUUUCUCCUCUUCUUUGUUCAGCGAAUGUUUCUUUGCCCCUGGAACUGUCUCCUGGGACUCACAGUGGAAGAGAGGCCAGCAGGGAUGGCGGUGCUCAGAGCAAGGACAGUCCAAGGUUAGACGUUGGAUCUGGCAAAGAAGAUGGAUGAGAGCAUUGGUCCUGACAGCCUGGUUUGGCAAGUGAGGAAGGGGAGCCCAGCCUCCCACCAGACCCCCAGGAACUUGCUCUUCCCAGCAGGAAAAAACAACAUCAGCUGCCCAGAACUCGGCAAUGUGCCUCUAUUCUGCGACUGGGUCUGGAUAAGAUGCCCUCAUAUUGUUCAACAGCUAGAUUUAAAGGUUUCCUUGGAGUCCACAUGAAUCCUGUCAUCCCCGGCAGGCAGUAGCCUGACACAGUCCAGAAGACCCUGCAGCUGGGCCCACAGGCAGCUCGCAGACGUGCACAGAUGCAGCGUGGGCAUUCCUGCUGACAGGCCUGACAUGACUCUCCGAAGAACUGAACCUCCUAUGCACGUGCACACACACACACACACACACACACACACACACCCAAAGUGAUAUUCCAAAUAUAUUAACACCCUGUGUGCCAUAAGCACCACCCCCAGCCAUCAACUUUACACGUACAUGAUUAAAAUAAAUUUUCUUACUUUCAUUGGUUUGAUUUGUUUUGGUUUCCUAUUU